GCCUACUACCUUAUUUACAAAAGUUAAUUUAUUUUGAGUAUGUACAUCUGCUUAGACAAGCAAAGCUACGGGUUUAAAAUAUGCAAACGUGUUGAGUAUGAAAUCCCAUUCAACAGUUAUUUGACAGUAACCAUUUGAGCAGUAACUUCCAUGAUGUGCAAUAUUUACAGAAUAGAACAAAGGACAUAUAAUACACUAUCUGGCACGAUACAAAAGCUUGAAUAUCUUAGAUGUUCAGGAUAAGGUUUUUAUUGAACCACAUGAGGAUUGGCAGUGUAUAUACAGGGACAGUAGCUUAUUUAUAGCUAUUAUGAGAGGUUGGGUGAAUUAGCUUGGGGGGGGGGGGGAUUGGCGUGGGACUGCAAUUAGGACAGUGAGCUAUGAUGGCUGGAACAGGCUGCGUACUCAUCAUUAAGUCAUGGAGCCGUAGGCCAGCGCUGUGCCGGGCUAACCCACUGAGCUGCCUGGUGCCAGGUAGGUGGGUCCGUCUGUGACAGGCUGCUCUGGGGGGUGAAAUGCUAUGGUGAGAGUGAGAUGUUCUGCAGUAGCAUCAGGCGCCUUCCAAAUGGCGCCCUAUAGUGUGAGUGUGUGUGUGGCCCGCUCAGAGAAAGUGCACUCAGUAGGGGCUAGGGAGCCAUUGAGAGGUGACCCAGAGGAAGCAUCCAGAACAACACUGCUGUCCCCCACAUGAACCCCAGGCACUGCCAUCAUCAUCAUCAUCACCGCCGCUGGCAAGGCCAGGACAGGAGGGUCCUCCUGGGACACAGCAGAUCCCCUGGCAUCAUUCUGUCCUCUCCUCAUCCCCCCUCGUCCCCCUUUCUCUAUUCUCCUCAUCCUCUCAUCUUCUCAACCCCCCUUCCCAUGUCUUCUAUUCACCACUACUCCUCAUCCCAUUCCUCUCUUCUCGUCCUCUUUUCUACCCCCCCAAUGUAUUCCCGUCUCCCCCCUUCCAUUUCUUCCGCCCCCUACUCCUUUCCUCCUCCUAUAUAUUUGUGUCAGGUCCAUGUGCUCUGUAGAUGAGGUCAAUGCUGGGUCAUAGGGAUUGUUCUGUGGCCAUGUAUCUGUGUGUGGGCAUGUGGUUUUGGGCUAUGGGAGUGGUCUUGGGCCAUGGGUGUGGUUUUGGACUAUGGGUGUGGGAUAUGGGGCAUUAUCCCCAAAUAGGGAUAUGGGUGUGGCCUUGGGGCAUUUGCGUGGUCUAAGGAUAUGGGUGUGGCCUGGGGCAUUUGCGUGGUCUAAGGAUAUGGGUGUGGCCUUGGGGGAUUGGCGUGGUCUAGGGAUAUGGGUGUGGCCUUGGGGCAUUUGCGUGGUCUAAGGAUAUGGGUGUGGCCUUUGGGGCAUGGGUGGGGUCACAGGGUCUGGGUGGGUUCAAUAGGUGCAGUCAUGGGCUGAAAAGAAAUAUUCAGAGAGGUGUUGUAAUGGAGCAGAACUAUGACAAGCCAUCGUCCAGUGUGUGAUGGAGAAAGCAACUCAUAACCCUAACUCUAACGUGUGUGUGUGUGUUGCUUUUUGUGUAUUUGUGUGUGCCUUUUUGUGCAUUUGUUAUUCCUCAGUUCUUUCUGUCCAGGGGUCUGCGUCGGUUCUGGUUGUGGUUUUGAUACCACAGGGCCGUGGGGAGGUUCUGACAACCCAUAUACCCCCUCUUCAUCUCUGCCUCACUCAAAGGGGGUGUGGCAUUACAGGGAGCCCCAGACAGAGUGACGUUUAAUAGGCUGGCUGUGGGGUCUAGGAGGCGGGACAUCCCUGAACCCUGAGAUGGGAUUGGAUAAAGAAGAUGAGUCAGGUCCAAUGAUCAAUGGCAGUACUACAUC
ensembl:lncRNA